UCAGUUGUUUUCAGUCUCUGGUGAGGGCAGGAAGUGGCGGGCCCUGGUGUGUAGAUGAAAGCAGUAGACGGAAGAAGAAAGGAGAAACAAAAGAGAAGGAUGAAGAAGAAAGGAGAAAAGAGGAAGAAAUAAGAGGAGCAGCCAAACCACAAUUUAGCCUUAGCCCGGCGUAGGCUGUCCAGCAGGAGGACUGUGGCACGUGAUAAGUUCCUGCUACAGCCCUUCACUGUGGCCCGCAUCGCUGUUCAUGGUGAGAGGACCUGUCUGUCUAUAUAUCAGCCUGGCAAUCCCACUCUGCUUGAUUGAUAGAUAGAUAGAUGCUUUCUCCAUAUAGGAUAUAAUGAUGACUAGAUGAAAGGACUCAACAAUGAUGAAUGUGAUAAGUAAAUUCUUAUUGUUAUUGUCACAGGAAAGUAAAGUUUUGAGACAGAAAAGGUCUUAUAAUACAUAAAAGUUUGUUUACAUGAAGAAUUGUGUUGUAGGUUGAUUUAUUUAUAUUAUGAUAAUUUAUAUAUGUAUGCAGUUAAUUCCAUUGUUAAUUAUGAUGUAUGUGUGUAUGUUUAUUUGUCAAGUUGUGUGUGUGUGCCUGUCUCUUGCAUAAAAUACCGUUGAUAUUGUGAGAGGAAGGGUAGUGCCUGUUGUACUGUCUUGCUGUAUAGAGAAAUGACCGUAAAUACCUGUGAAUAUUUGUAAACAAUCUUGUAUAUCAAUUGUUGUAUAAUGAAAGUUUGGUCUGA